UACGAAGGGUGCAAGCGUUACUCGGAAUUACUGGGCGUAAAGCGUGCGUAGGUGGUUCGUUAAGUCUGAUGUGAAGGCCCUGGGCUCAACCUGGGAAUUGCAUUGGAUACUGGCGGGCUAGAGUACGGUAGAGGGUGGCGGAAUUCCACGUGUAGCAGUGAAAUGCGUAGAGAUGUGGAGGAACACCGAUGGCGAAGGCAGCCCCCUGGGCCGAUACUGACGCUCAGGCACGAAAGCGUGGGGAGCAAACAGG
rnacentral:rRNA from 1 species